CAGCAGCCGCGGUAACACGAAGGGGGCUAGCGUUGUUCGGAUUUACUGGGCGUAAAGCGCACGUAGGCGGACUUUUAAGUCAGGGGUGAAAUCCCGGGGCUCAACCCCGGAACUGCCUUUGAUACUGGAAGUCUUGAGUAUGGUAGAGGUGAGUGGAAUUCCGAGUGUAGAGGUGAAAUUCGUAGAUAUUCGGAGGAACACCAGUGGCGAAGGCGGCUCACUGGACCAUUACUGACGCUGAGGUGCGAAAGCGUGGGGAGCAAACAGGAUUAGAUACCCCGGUAGUCCCUGUCUCUUAUAC
rnacentral:rRNA from 1 species